rnacentral:lncRNA from 1 species
GCCAUCACUUUUCUCUAUGCAAAAAAUAUUUUUGUAUGAGAUUUUUUACACCAUUCUAAUGUUAGUUGAUUAAUUUUUGAGUUUCUAAGAGAAGGAUAAAUUUAGUUUAAAAUUUAAUUUAAAUUUGAUUUGAAUUGGUGAUAAGGAUCAACUAGCAUUUAAAAUUGAACCGAAACUACCUCUUUCUUAUCCUUAUCUUUCAUGGGAUGCUACCCUUAAAAAGGGAUCA